GCAGUGUUUACUUCAGGAAUGCACAGAUUUGAUUGGCUAAGUGGUAUCACGUGGGAUGACUUAACUCGCAUGCAAUUGGUCUGUGCGUUUCCACUACCACUAUUGUAAAGCUUGCAAAAGCUGCGCCGGUUAAAAUAGAAGCGUCCCGUCAAGUUUUAAAUCAUAACCUUUUGUUUUGGCUCUAGGUCCGGGUCCGUAUUGCACAGCUUCUGGGUCCGGAUCGCGGUCCUCCUGUUAGUGACCUAUGCACUACAUGAAUGAGUUUGGGCAAUUUAAAGAAAGAAAGAAAAAAAAAACCUAUCAUAUCCAUAUAUAGAAUAUAUAUAAAGUGAAAGAAUAAAUACAUUGUCCAAAUCCAAUCCACAUACAUAAAUGCACGUACACAGUGAACAAAUUGCUGGGAGAAUUGUUCAAGCACCAUGGCGCUACAUAGAACAAAGGCAGAGCCAUAAAGAACAACAGAAGGAGAGACGGUGGGAGCAGUCAAGCAGUGCUAGAAGAUCAGGGGGAGCAUGUUGCAGUAUGGGACAAUUUAGGAAAGACAUUAAUAACAGCCUACAACAUGUGUCUUUGAAUUAGGGGAGGAAACCAGAGUACCAGGAGAAAACCAACAAAGCAAAGAGAGAUCAAGCAUACAGGGCAAAGGCAGGAAUCCAAACCGUAACCCUGGAUUUGUGGGGCAAAUAUGCUAGCCUCUAAGCCUCCAUUUACCCAUUUAAGUAAAAUGCAAACAGUUGGGUUGCAGAUUGACAGUAAUUUCAGAGCAGCUGAGAGCUGAAACACCGAGUGGUGGGCUGACGGUUUCAGAAUAUGUGGCUAUUUCAGUAUAGUCAUGGAUUAGAUUUUUAGAGUUUUUGUAAAAUAAAUCUUAGUGGAAUAAGCAGGAAAUGUCUUCACUUCAUUUAAAUGUUGUAUGUCUUUGUUCUGUAAUAUGUACUACUGAUCAAGUUUUAGCACAGAAAAGCCUGCUAUGGGAAUUUAUGCUGCUGUACUA